AUCAAUGGUAUUAUGUGAGCUGUCAUCAC
rnacentral:sRNA from 1 species